GUCAGUAGUCAUGCCACCUGCUGUUCAGACUAGGUAACCCAUCUGAAGCUAAGCAGGUUUGGACCUGGCCAGAACUUGGAUGGGAAAACAACUAGGAAAGUUGAGUUGCUGCUGGAA
rnacentral:rRNA from 1 species